UGGGAACAUGCCCAAAGGUACGGAACAACUCCGGGAAACUGGAGCUAAUACCGUAUGUGCCCGAAAGGGGAAAGAUUCAUCGCCUUUGGAUCGGCCCGCGUCUGAUUAGCUAGUUGGCGGGGUAAUGGCCCACCAAGGCAGCGAUCAGUAGCUGGUCUGAGAGGAUGAUCAGCCACACUGGGACUGAGACACGGCCCAGACUCCUACGGGAGGCAG
rnacentral:rRNA from 1 species